rnacentral:misc_RNA from 1 species
AAAUGCGAUAAGUAAUGUGAAUUGCAGAAUUCAGUGAAUCAUCGAAUCUUUGAACGCACCUUGCGCUCCUUGGUAUUCCUUGGAGCAUGCCUGUUUGAGUAUCAUGAAAUCUUCAAAGUAAAUCUUUUGUUAACUCAAUUGGUUUCUACUUUGGUAUUGGAGGUCUUUGCAGCUUCACACCUGCUCCUCUUUGUUCAUUAGCUGGAUCUCAGUGUUAUGCUUGGUUCCACUCGGCGUGAUAAGUUAUCUAUCGCUGAGGACACUGUAAAAGGUGGCCAAGGUAAAUGCAGAUGAACCGCUUCUAAUAUUCCAUUGACUUGGACAAUACUUUUAUGAUCUGAUCUCAAAUCAGGUAGGACUACCCGCUGAACUUAAGC